AGACCUAGGCAGGUCUGGCCCUAUCCCCUCCUCUGAGAUGCCACAGAGGUCAACGCUCAGACAGGGCCCAAACCCAGGAGGGCAUCUGCUAGGCAUCCCUCCUGCAGGAGUGGGAGCCGAGGCUGGAGUGGAAGUCAGGGAAGUGCCCACUGGUCCACCCUCCGUUCAGUGCUCAGCCCCUUGUUCACUAGAAUAUUCUUUCAGAUGGCACUGCCCCUCCCAGCCCCUCCCAGGCUUGGCGGUUUCCCCCACCCCCCCACCAUCACCCCUACCCCCUACCCCCCCCCACGCCCCCGCAGGAGGCCUCAGGCUGGUCCCAACCUUCCGCCCCAGCAGGGGCCCCUCAGAGGUCAGUUGUCACAUUCCUUCAUUUUAUGUAUGAGGAAACUGAGCCCCAGAGAGGGCAACAGGCUGCCUGAGGCCUUGCACCUGGUAGCACACGAGAUGCAGGGACCUCCAUCUCCUGGGAUGACCUCGUAGCCUUCUUGUGGGGGUGGGAGUUGGGGGUGGUCCCUCCGCACUUCAGGAACCCUGGGCCAGGACCCAUGGAAGGCCGCAUCUUUGCCGAUGCUACACUGUGGGUCAGCAGUCCUUCCUCUGCUGACCCACAGCAGGUUUCUGCCACAGGUGCGAGUGCUCCCAUUGUUCUGAGGGUGCCAUGUGUCCCCGUUCGUUCCACUCCAGAGCUGGGAUGGGAGCUGGAUCCGGGAGGAGUAAGAUAGGAAGGGUGCACCUCGGCUGCAGUGGAACCCCGUCUGCCCGGCUCUGCUGCCUCCUUGCCCUUGGCCAAGUCCCCUCCUCUCGCCGAGCCUCAGUUUCCUCAGCUGUAAAACAAGGAUGCUGGACAGCAAUCUCUAGAUUCCUCUGACCACGACCGAUUGCCCACCUGCCUCGCCGAGGCUCUUGGCACCCUUGGCACAAGUCCUGGGCGGGGUCAAUCCAAGCAAUCACUCUCUUCUCUAUGCCUGUGAGUCACUGGCCUUGUGGGGUUGGGCUUCACCCCCAACCCCACCCAGCUCUCCAGGCCCUGCUCACAACCGGGGCUGACCGCUUCCCCAAACCAGCCUCCAAGGGAGGCCUUCCUGCCUCUCAGAGCCCUUAUGGGAACUGACAUAGAAGAUCAGAAGGGAGAGCUGUUGGCGGGGUGCAAAGGCUCCCUCCAGGGCCGGUGUGACUGUCCUUUCUCUCCAGUGUCUCGGAUCCCAGCAGGGUGCCCAGCCUGGGCUUCUCUGCCAUCCAAAGUGGACAAAUGUGACAUCACCAGGGAGGCCCAGCCAGGACACUGGGGCAAGAAGGAGCUCACUGGUGACUGCUUUCCACCCAGGGUUUUGGUCAUCAAGACAGUCCAUUAUACAGACGAGAAAACUGAGGCCCAGAGGAAACGAGGGCCCUGUCCAAGGCCACAUGGCUAGAAGAGGCAGAGCAGGAAUUUGCACUCAAGGCUCUCUAGGACUUAGACGCCCUAGAAAAAUCCAGGAGCUGCAGUCACUACUGUCACAUCCCACAAAGCCCUGGGAGGCUCGCUGGCUCUUCAGAGCUCGGCUCUUUAUUAUUUAUGGUCCCUGCCCACUUCCAGAAGUUGGAGUCAGCUUCCCAGAAAGAUACAUACGUUGGAGGAGUAGCGGAGAAUCCACAGCACAAGACUUUGGAGGUUGCAGGUGGCCUGGCCGGACUAGGGGGUGGGAAUGUCCACCAGUUUCCACCAAGGACUGGGCGGUAAUGGUGUCAUGGAGCCCCCAUGAUGUCACCCAGUUCCUGGGAGUCCCAGCUAUUUGCAGAUUCUGGCUUUAAUGAGAGCCCACAAGGUCCAGAUGCUGUGCUGAAGUGAAAGUCAGUCUUUUGCUUCCUAGACCGGGUUGUUCCCAUGAUGUCAUGGCCCCUGUUCUUGCCCAGCGUUCAGCUCAGCUGGACUUGUCUCCUUAGUAAGCCUUUGCUUGCCCACUCAUGAAGCAAAGAGCGUACCAGGCUUGGGGUCAGAGACACAUAGGGCAUCGGUUCCACCUCACCUGUGACCUGGCCAAGGGUUGUACAGCUGAGUUGCAGCUUCCUAAGCUCUGAAUCUGAGCCAAGGUGGUGGCAUCAGCCCAGCAUCUGUGCCCCUUUCUCCUGCCAACAGCAUCCCAAUGCCCCCUGGAAGUUUUCCCUCCCUUACCCAUAGUUCCUAAAGGACCCCAGCCUUACCUAUUUCCCGGCCACAGUGACUGAUGUCAGGAAUAGCCACGUGACUCAAGGCAGAGCAAGCAGAGCCAGGACUGAGGUCUUUGUUGGAAUUAUCGGGAAAGUGGCAGGAAGUGGAGGGAUGUGCCCCCUCUUGGGCAGCAAACCUGGUAUUUCUGGUGGCAUCUUACCACCAUGAGAGUGUAGUCAGCAGGGGGAGAGCAGAUAGAGGGAGACACUGACUCCUGAUGACACUGUUUGGGCAUCAUGAUCCAGCUGUGCCUGAAGCUGGUAUGCUCUAGACCUGUUAGUAACCUAAACUUAGAUCAUUUAUAAAACUAAGACUCUAAAGAACCCUAAUUUCCCACCCCUUAUUGAGACUCCUUUGUAAGCAUGAGGCAUUUUGUGCAGUUUUCAUCAAAUAUUAAGUGCUGCUUCUUACACAUGGACACAAUCAUUAACCCUCUUUUCUUUUUUUCUUUCUUUCUUUUUUUCGGCUGCACCCGCAGCAUAUGGAGGUUCCUGAGCCAGGUUUUGAUUCCAAGCACAGCUUCGACAUAUGCCAUAGGUGCACCAAUGCCAGAUCCUUAACUCACUGCUCCACAGUGGGAAAUCCGAUCCUCUCUUUUUUUGUUGUUGCCUUUUUUUUUUUUUGUCUUUUGUCCUUUUAGGGCUGCACCCGGGGCAUAUGGAAGUUUCCCAGGUUAGGGGUUGAAUCGGAGGUGUAGCCACCGGCCUAUGUCAGAGCCACAGCAACACAAGAUCUGAGCCGUGCCUUCAACCUACACCACAGCUCACGGCAACGCUGGAUCCUUAACCCACUGAGCAAGGCCAGAGAUAGAACCCACAUCCUCAUGGUUCCUAGUCGGAUUCGUUAACUGCUGAGUCAUGACGGGAACU
rnacentral:lncRNA from 1 species